AUAUCAAUAAGCGCAGGAAAAGAAACCAACAGGGAUUGCCUCAGUAACGGCGAGUGAAGCGGCAACAGCUCAAAUUUGAAAUCUGGCCUCCCGGGGUCCGAGUUGUAAUUUGUAGAGGAUGUUUUGGGUACCGCCCCGGUUUAAAUUUCUUGGAACAGAAUGUCAGAGAGGGUGAGAAUCCCGUCUUGGACCGGUGGUAGGGCCUGUGUAAAACUCCUUCGACGAGUCGAGUUGUUUGGGAAUGCAGCUCAAAAUGGGUGGUAAAUUUCAUCUAAAGCUAAAUAUUGGCCAGAGACCGAUAGCGCACAAGUAGAGUGAUCGAAAGAUGAAAAGAACUUUGAAAAGAGAGUUAAACAGUAUGUGAAAUUGUUGAAAGGGAAGCGCUUGCAACCAGACUUGAGCGCGACGGUUCCCCUAGCCUUUUGGCUAGGUUACUCCGUCGUGUCCAGGCCAACAUCGGUUCUGAGGGUCGGUCAAAGGCUCUGGGAAUGUAUCUACCCACGGGUAGACUUAUAGACCAGGGUGUCAUGCGACCUCUCGGGACCGAGGAACGCGCUUCGGCUCGGAUGUUGGCGUAAUGGUUGUCAGCGACCCGUCUUGAAACACGGACCAAGGAGUCUAACAUCUAUGCGAGUGUUUGGGUGUCAAACCCGGAACGCGAAAUGAAAGUGAACGGAGGUAGGAAGCUUCGGCUGCACUAUCGACCGAUCCUGAAGUUUACGGAUGGAUUUGAGUAAGAGCAUAGCUGUUGGGACCCGAAAGAUGGUGAACUAUGCCUGAAUAGGGUGAAGCCAGAGGAAACUCUGGUGGAGGCUCGCAGCGGUUCUGACGUGCAAAUCGAUCGUCAAAUUUGGGUAUAGGGGCGAAAGACUAAUCGAACCAUCUGGUAGCUGGUUCCUGCCGAAGUUUCCCUCAGGAUAGCAGUAACGUUUUCAGUUUUAUGAGGUAAAGCGAAUGAUUAGAGGCCUUGGGGUUGAAACAACCUUAACCUAUUCUCAAACUUUAAAUAUGUAAGAAGUCCUUGUUACUUAAUUGAACGUGGACAUUUGAAUGUACCGUUACUAGUGGGCCAUUUUUGGUAAGCAGAACUGGCGAUGCGGGAUGAACCGAACGUGAGGUUAAGGUGCCGGAAUGCACGCUCAUCAGACACCACAAAAGGUGUCAAUGCAUCUAGACAGCCGGACGGUGGCCAUGGAAGUCGGAAUCCGCUUAGGAGUGUGUAACAACUCACCGGCCGAAUGCAUUGGCCCUGAAAAUGGAUGGCGCUUAAGCGUGCUACCUAUACCUCGCCGUUAGGGUUGACAUGAUGCCCUAACGAGUAGGCAGGCGUGGAGGUCCGUGACGAAGC
rnacentral:rRNA from 1 species